AGGCAGCAGUGGGGAAUCUUGCGCAAUGCGCGAAAGCGUGACGCAGCAACGCCGCGUGCGGGAAGACGGCCUUCGGGUUGUAAACCGCUUUCAGUUGGGACGAAGCCUCGCCAGUUAAUAGCUGGUUGGGGUGACGGUACCUUCACAAGAAGCCCCGGCUAACUACGUGCCAGCAGCCGCGGUAAUACGUAGGGGGCAAGCGUUGUCCGGAAUCAUUGGGCGUAAAGCGCGUGUAGGCGGCUCAGUUAGUCCGUUGUGAAAGUCCAGGGCUCAACCCUGGAAUGCCGAUGGAUACUGCUGAGCUCGAGUCCGGAAGAGGCGAGUGGAAUUCCUGGUGUAGCGGUGAAAUGCGCAGAUAUCAGGAGGAACACCAAUGGCGAAGGCAGCUCGCUGGGACGGUACUGACGCUGAGACGCGAAAGCGUGGGGAGCAAACAGGAUUAGAUACCCUGGUAG
rnacentral:rRNA from 1 species